rnacentral:rRNA from 1 species
UACGUAGGGUGCAAGCGUUGUCCGGAAUUAUUGGGCGUAAAGAGCUCGUAGGCGGUCUGUUGCGUCGGCUGUGAAAACCCGGGGCUCAACCCCGGGCCUGCAGCCGAUACGGGCAGACUAGAGUUCGGCAGGGGAGACUGGAAUUCCUGGUGUAGCGGUGAAGUGCGCAGAUAUCAGGAGGAACACCGGUGGCGAAGGCGCUGCUCUGGGCCGAAACUGACGCUGAGGAGCGAAAGCGUGGGUAGCAAACAGG